rnacentral:tRNA from 1 species
CAAAGUGUAGUCUAAUUAAAACACCUCGCUUACACCGAGAAAAAAUCUGUUAAACCCAGAUCAUUUUGA